rnacentral:rRNA from 1 species
AUGCAAGUCGAGGGCGAGCAUAAUCGAAGCUUGCUUGAUGAUGGCGACCGGCGCACGGGUGAGUAACGCGUAUCCAACCUUCCCCUUAGUAGGGCAUAGCCCGGCGAAAGUCGGAUUAAUACCCUAUGUUAUCCGUCGAGGACAUCUGAAGUGGAUUAAAGAUUUAUCGCUAAGGGAUGGGGAUGCGUCUGAUUAGGUUGUUGGCGGGUAACGGCCACCAAGCCUACGAUCAGUAGGGGUUCUGAGAGGAAGGUCCCCCACAUUGGUACUGAGACACGGACCAAACUCCUACGGGAGGCAGCAGUGAGGAAUAUUGGUCAAUGGGCGAGAGCCUGAACCAGCCAAGUAGCGUGCCAGGAUGACUGCCCUAUGGGUUGUAAACUGCUUUUAUAGGGGAAUAAAGUCCACUACGUGUAGUGGUUUGUAUGUACCCUAUGAAUAAGGACCGGCUAAUUCCGUGCCAGCCGCAGC